rfam:Aeromicrobium sp. Leaf289 contig_1, whole genome shotgun sequence.
UCCGGUCCUCGGUAGUGGCCCUCGGGACGGCGAUCGCCGCGCCGCGGGCCUCGAUCGAAGACCGAA